UACAGAGGCCUCGAGCGUUAGGCGGAAUCACUGGGCUUAAAGCGGGUGUAGGCGGACUUCUAAGUACCUUGUGAAAUCCCACGGCUUACCCGUGGAACGGCUGGGUAUACUGGACGUCUUGAGCCAUCUAGGGGCUACCGGAACAAAUGGUGGAGCGGUGAAAUGCGUAGAUAUCAUUUGGAACGCCAAUGGUGAAAACAGGUAGCUGGGGAUGUGCUGACGCUGAGACACGAAAGCCAGGGGAGCGAACGGG
rnacentral:rRNA from 1 species